UGAAAUUAAAACUCUUGUGAAAGAAGAACUGUUUUCGGAGUUAUCAAAAGAACACAAAAUUUUGAAAAACAGAAAGCAUGGAAAAAUAAGCACAUUAAUGACAAAGGAUUUUGAAGACUUAAAACAGUUUACUUGGGACAGUAUUGUAAAUGAGGCAGUGACAGAAUUCCCUCUUCUUGUUGAUGUUUUGCUGGCAUUUUUAGUCCCUGACAGUUUGGAACAAAAGACUAAAGUAGAACGAGUUGCAUCUCUAACUCCAAGAAUUGGAUUUUUGUAUUCCGUUCUUGCACAGGGCAGAAAUCAUGAACUGAGUAAGGUGCAGAGAGUUAUAAGCAUCAACCUGUUUGACAACCUGUGUGAUCAAAAGGGACUGAAUGCAUGUAUGAAAAUUGAAGUUUUAUUCAUUCAAGCAUGAAUCAAAGAAAUGAAACAGCAGUGAAGAAGUAUUUGACAGAUUGCAACCUAUAGGUGUCUGUUUGAGCUAUGGUCAUGGUUUUACCAUAUUGGACAAAUUUUCUGGAAAUUUCAACUCCGCUGUCAUUGAUGCUCUGAAAGAUGAGAAAAGGAUUCGCUUGGUAGGAGACAACAUUAAUUGGAAGACAAAUGUUCACGACGAGAGACAAGACAACCAUGGUAAAAUGCAUCAUGCUUUUGGAUCCGCUGUGAUUGUUCAGACCCUAUCUUUUGACAAUAUAAGCAGAAUUAAACCUCAAAAACUUUUCUAUGAAGUAGACCAUCAGCUUUUCCUUCCUUCGUCGGAAGAAUGGAAGCAUAUCAAGGAGGAAUAUGCCAUACAUAUGCUUCAUGUUGCCUUCAAACAUAUUCCUUAAAGAUUUUUGAAAAAUUAAUUACAAAACAGAUUGUUGGUCAAUAUAGUGAGCAA